CAGUUCACUUCCGAGUGUAGUUAGGCUCCCUCCCCUCACACACACCCUCUCGGGAAAGGUGUCGGAGAGAGAGGCUCAACCACCAACAAGUUGUGACAAAUCCUUUUUAUCAAGGACAGGGAGUUCUCACAAACUCAAGUUGGGCGGUGAGAACCAUGCACAGUGAAUGGACCGAACGGAAGAAUCGAUUUGAGUGGAGGUUAUUUUCCUUCUUCUUUCAGUUGAGUCUGGCAUACCUCAUCCUCUCGUGUCUAGGCUACUGCCUGCGUGUGUAGGGAGCCGAGGACCACCCGAAGACACACUUUUAUGCUGUGAUUUGCGGUUGUCAGAGACUGAUUUAAACGAUUGGAAAUGCCUGGGAACGAGAGAGUUUGUCGUCUUUGAAAGAGAUCAUUCAAAAGCCAGGGAACGACGCAUGCGCAGACUGUGGCGCGCCUGAUCCUAGUUGGGGCUCCUGUUCCUUAGGAGUGUUCAUCUGUGUUCAAUGUUCCGGGAUCCACAGGAAUAUUCCCUACAUCGGAAUGAAGGUCAAAUCCCUCAGCCUCUCCCGCUGGGAAGACCAGGACGUAAAGUUCAUGGCGGAGAAUGGGAACGAAUUGAUGAAGCAGAAAUAUGAGGCGGUUGUUCCUGUCUACUACUACAAACCUACCCACAAAGAC